ACUACGGGAGGCUGCAGUGAGGAAUAUUGGUCAAUGGGAGAGAUCCUGAACCAGCCAAGCCGCGUGAGGGAAGACGGCCCUAUGGGUUGUAAACCUCUUUUGUCGGAGAACAAAACCCGGGACGUGUCCCGGACUGCGUGUAUCCGAAGAAAAAGCAUCGGCUAACUCCGUGCCAGCAGCCGCGGUAAUACGGAGGAUGCGAGCUUUAUCCGGAUUUAUUGGGUUUAAAGGGUGCGUAGGCGGUCCGUUAAGUUAGCGGUAAAAUGUCGGGGCUCAACCCCGUCGAGACGUUGAAACUGGCAGACUGGAGUUGGCGAGAGGUACGCGGAAUGCGCGGUGGAGCGGUGAAAUGCAUAGAUAUCGCGCAGAACUCCGAUUGCGAAGGCAGCGUACCGGCGCCAGACUGACGCUGAGGCACGAACGCGUGGGGAUCGAACAGGAUUAGAUACCCCAGUAGUC
rnacentral:rRNA from 1 species